ACGCGUUGGCCCAAUUGAUUGAUGGUGCUUGCACCUGAUUGAUUUUGGUCGCCAACGAGUGGCGGACGGGUGAGUAACACGUAGGUAACCUGCCCAGAAGCGGGGGACAACAUUUGGAAACAGAUGCUAAUACCGCAUAACAACGUUGUUCGCAUGAACAACGCUUAAAAGAUGGCUUCUCGCUAUCACUUCUGGAUGGACCUGCGGUGCAUUAGCUUGUUGGUGGGGUAAUGGCCUACCAAGGCGAUGAUGCAUAGCCGAGUUGAGAGACUGAUCGGCCACAAUGGGACUGAGACACGGCCCAUACUCCUACGGGAGGCAGCAGUAGGGAAUCUUCCACAAUGGGCGCAAGCCUGAUGGAGCAACACCGCGUGAGUGAAGAAGGGUUUCGGCUCGUAAAGCUCUGUUGUUAAAGAAGAACACGUAUGAGAGUAACUGUUCAUACGUUGACGGUAUUUAACCAGAAAGUCACGGCUAACUACGUGCCAGCAGCCGCGGUAAUACGUAGGUGGCAAGCGUUAUCCGGAUUUAUUGGGCGUAAAGAGAGUGCAGGCGGUUUUCUAAGUCUGAUGUGAAAGCCUUCGGCUUAACCGGAGAAGUGCAUCGGAAACUGGAUAACUUGAGUGCAGAAGAGGGUAGUGGAACUCCAUGUGUAGCGGUGGAAUGCGUAGAUAUAUGGAAGAACACCAGUGG
rnacentral:rRNA from 2 species